CUCGGUGAUUGGAGCGGUGUGGAACCACCUUUUCCCAUUCCGAACAGAGUCGUGAAACGCGCCAGCGUCGACGAUAGUAUGCGGGCAACUGUAUGCGAAAAUAGAUCAUUGCCGAGG
rnacentral:rRNA from 2 species